UGGGGAUAUGAAAAAUUAGACAUAUUGGAAACUGUGCACUUGCAAUUUCUAAAAAAGGUGCUCUCUGUCCGUAAAUCAACGCCAAACUUCAUGGUGUACGGCGAAACAGGUAGAUAUCCACUAGACAUACAUGUAAAAUUACGUAUACUUAAUUUUUGGGUAAAGCUACUUUCGAAUGAUUCUAAACUGUCUAGUAUUAUGUAUAAGUUAUUGUAUGAAAUGCAUUGUUCAGCAAAUAUGCAAUCAAAAUGGUUAUUAAAUGUGAAAUCUAUACUGAAUGAUGUUGGCUUAUCAUUUGUAUGGGAUAGCCAAGAAAUUCUUAGUAAAAAUAGUAUAAAAUAUUAUGUUAAACAAAUCUUACAAGACCAAUUUGUACAAAAAUGGCACAGUAUGGCUGAUAGUGCCUCAAGAGGGG
rnacentral:lncRNA from 1 species